rnacentral:tRNA from 1 species
CCCGGGACGCAUGACCGCUUCCGCACAGCUCGUCAGGCUCACAACCUGAAGGUCAUAGGUUCAAAUCCUAUCCCCGUAACCA